GAGAGUUUGUCUCAUUUGUAGUUUUACACUGUGCUGCUACACAUUGCAAUUCUGCAUGCUAACUUCCAGAACAUAACCCCAACGUCAUCUCAAUGGGUUCCCCCUCCGGAAGAUUAUUUCAAGUGUAACGUAGAUGGAGCUUGUUUUGAUGGUGAUAAAUGUUCAGAAUAUGGUGCUGUAAUUACAGAGCAUAAAGGAGUUUUUAUUGCUGCCAUAUCUGGUUGGUUCAGGGGCUGCAGGACGCCGGAGUAUGCAGAGGCUCUUGGUUUGCGAGAAGUGUUGGCCUGGAUCCCCUUCACUCUGUCUUCAUUUUGAUCGGGCUUGACUCAAAUUUUGUGCAAAGCUAUUGUGCAAGAGGAGAUAAACCUAUCUGAAUUUGGAA
rnacentral:misc_RNA from 1 species